rnacentral:tRNA from 1 species
AGAGCUUUAAGUUAAAAAAACUAUUUGCCUUCAAAGCAAAAAUUAGUGAAAUUCACUAAGCUCUG